rnacentral:rRNA from 1 species
CAGCCGCCGCGGUAAUACGGAGGGCGCGAGCGUUGUCCGGAAUUAUUGGGCGUAAAGCGCGCGCAGGCGGUCCCUUAAGUCUGAUGUGAAAGCCCACGGCUCAACCGUGGAGGGUCAUUGGAAACUGGGGGACUUGAGUGCAGAAGAGGAAAGUGGAAUUCCACGUGUAGCGGUGAAAUGCGUAGAGAUGUGGAGGAACACCAGUGGCGAAGGCGACUUUCUGGUCUGUAACUGACGCUGAGGCGCGAAAGCGUGGGGAGCAAACAGGAUUAGAUACCCUGGUAGUCCACGCCGUAAACGAUGAGUGCUAAGUGUUAGGGGGUUUCCGCCCCUUAGUGCUGCAGCUAACGCAUUAAGCACUCCGCCUGGGGAGUACGGCCGCAAGGCUGAAACUUAAAGGAAUUGGCGGG